UAUAUGGAAAAAGUGGCCCUGUCACCUGACCCCCAAAUUGUUUUUUUUAUAAAAUCCUCAUAAAGAUUGUGUAGGAAUUUCAUUGAAAUUCCAACAGAAUCAGAAGAUAUCAUGAGUCUAAAUAGGAACUAUAUUUUUUUAGGUUACAUUUCGAACUUGACAAAAUGCGAUUCUACCGCUGUCAAGUUACAUUGCAACAGUUAAGUAUAAAAAGUCCCAACUUAC